rnacentral:lncRNA from 1 species
AACUCGAAUUUGUUCACGAUAUUAAUUCUUGUUAAUUGUGUAAAUUGCUACAAACGUGCAGUCAGAGUCUAAAUUGUUUUCUUAUCUGCAACUUCACUCCCCUCUUUGUUGUAUACUCUUAUCGGUAUCUUGUCUUUUUACCUGCAUUCAGACAUAGGAUCUUCUUGUCCAGAUAAGAUUCUGUCUCACGCAGAAAUUUUAUUUUUCUUCAUAAAAUAAAAGUUUCGAAACGAUUCUGUUUAAAAUAUAUUCCCAACGAAACGAAGGUCGGAGAUGGAAAAGAUAAGGUUAGCAUCUUUUACCUGGUAGGAAAAGGAAAGAAAAACACGGAAAGAUGUGGCGCCUUUUGGUAAAAAUCGUUUUGUAUGGCCCCAGUAGAAAGAUUCGCGAGUUAUAAACGAGGAGAAAAUACGAAAGUCGAAUGUUUGGUCGCCAGAUUUGCUGGUCCUUUUAAGUCAAAAGCUGCAUUGCUCUUCGUAUCCCGUAGACUGAAUGUAAAUAAAUAUAUGGCACACUUUAGCCUAAUUUCCAAGACGAUGGUCUUCGGUUCGCUCACCCCUUUCUAAGCAGGAGACAGGGCAAGAAACAUUAAUCACAACAAUCCCUUCCACCAUUGGCAUUCAUUGGAAUGAACAUAUGAUUAAUAGCAUCUUUCGCCACAGUAAGGAGUGGAAGGAGAAUUCAGAUUGAAGAGACUACUAAGGUCAACAAUGUACCAGAACUGGGGGGCCGAUAGUGUGCUUUUCGUCUCUAUGACAACGAAAGGAGCGUCAAUCUGGACGCCGUCUCCUCCUCCCCCGCUUCGACCCCCCGAGUCCAAACUGACUUCCUUCUGGGACAGUGUCCGUGCUGCAGGCCAUAUCGUCUCCUACAAGUCUGACUUGGAACUCAAAGGAUUCUUGAAAGCUUUUGUGUGCGCUUGCAAACAUGGUGGAACGCACAAAGAGCGGGACAUGAGUCGACCAAUGGGGCUGCCUCGAGCCGCUCUGUGACAGAAUGAUUGAUACGACGGCCACGAAAUUUUUAUCGAAAGUUCUUGUUCUCAUUGUGCAGGUGGAGGGCGUAGCAUUACCAAAACUCUUCAGGAUGUUCCAUUACAAAACUGGCUCCAAAGUUUCUGGGAUUUAUUGGACGAACAAUCUUUUUGAUUUCCACUCUUGAGUUGUUUUUUUCCUCCUCUCUUUCUCUCCCUUUCUCAGACUAGGGCCGAUCACUGCUGCGAGCAUUUCCCUUCGCUAGAUUUUUAUGUAUUCACCUCGGGGUGUGAAAAAAAACUGUAAAAGGGAGAGAAAAAAAGGGGUAGAUGAGUUAAAGAAAUAUAGUGAGUUUUUGUUCUUUCGACAUUCUUAUUAUAUGGCAGAAUAGCGUUACCUGCGUUGAUGGCCGACAAUUACCGACUUAAGUAGACUAACUGCCUAAUCUGUAUAUCUGCCCCUCUCUCUUUCCGAAAGAGAGUGUUUAUUGCCAUGUACUACCAGUAUCGAAACGUUUUCAUUUCCCUGUAUAAAUUUAAAAGGGAAUUUUUCGUCAUCCAUCAAUAGGCGAUGGCGAAAUUCGGCAUGUUUAUUAUUGGAUCCAAGCCAAUUCGCUUUGUUACAUAAUGAUGUUUUAUGAUCAUCAAACAAUCUCUUUUUACCCAUUGAGAAGUUGUUGACAUCCUUUCCAUUCAGAUACAAUUUUGGGACGGAGCUGCAGCCAGCCACAACAGCGCCUUGUCUUUCCCAUCUGCUGUCAUCCAUCGCUGCAGAUAUUUUCAGCUGCUGGCAUUUGUCUCACUUCCGGAGUGACGUCACUUCCGUUUCAUGAAUGGAAACGUUUCAGUUCGAAGUUUCGGUACAGAAAAAAAUCCCGGACGACACACAUGGGCGCAAAUUAAUGUGUGCUUUACGGCUGAGAAGAAUGGCCGCCGACUCUUCUGAUAAGAGUUAGAGGAUUCGAGUUUUCUGGCAAAAGGAUGGUAUAGAGGAACUGCAACUUCAGACAUGGACGUCAGAGUUGCCCAGAAGGUUAUUACAAGACAGUGUAGAGGUUUUAAUCCACAGCUAAUUGGUUUUUUCUGUCAUCAGUAAUACCAAGCCAAUCGAUAGAUGGGGAAGUGCUGCUCCCUCUCCAGCAAAAGAGAACAGCCUUGCAUACAUCAUUCCUGCCAAGCAGUUUGCUGUCGUUUUAGUCAUCAGUUCUUAAAACAGCACAAAACCCGAGAUUAACAUCGUGUCUCCUGCAAAUUUCCAAUCGCCCGAAUUUAUAAAUAUGAUUUAUGUUGGAGAAAACAAGGUUUAAAUAGCGAUUAAUGUCCACUAAAGAAAUCCACUUACAGAUUAGUGUUAUUCGGCGGAAACUCCUCCGAUUAUCGCUAAUCUCCGAGGGAAUUUUUAAUCCAGAUGGCAAAACGGCUCCAUAUGGACACAAGUGAACACCCUCCAGGCAAAGUUUAAAUUUCAAUCAGUUUUUUUUCUUCCGUAUAAUGAACUCCAUCAGAGCAUCUGACCAUAGAGCUAUGCGCAAUAUAUAAUUAACCACAUGCGCUCUUCUAAUUACCUACGAGUCUUGUGGCCAGAUAAUUAACACCGAUGAUGCUAGCGUGAGAACUUAUUGUCUGCCAUCUUGGCCGUGCACCCGGUAGGCCAAUCUAAAGAUUACUGUCGGACCGGUCGAGCCACCGUAAAGUUUUUUUGGUGGCAAAAAUGAGUGGUUUAAAGUACGGCAUUAAAAGUGAAGGAGCAUUGUUGGCGAUAUGGAUAGCGAGGUUCCGUAGCCAACAGAGCAGUAAACAUUGUCAACACAGCGUGAAAUUGCCAGCAAGGUAUUUUUGUAGGUAAUCUGAAUACAAUCUAACAGGACGGGGAUUAAUGGAUAGACAUGUGUACUCCAGUCACGGAACACCAGAUAAUUUAUAACCAUAAUUUAAUACAAUAAGCACAAUACGUUCAACAAGCUGUGCUAAUUGCUGAGGCAGUUGUGUUCAAAUGUCUCUGAUGUAUACGCGCAGCUAUUGGUUUAAUGGAAGAAGAGCGCAAUCGUUAAUUGCAUCGUACGUAUCUCUCGAAAUAACGCUUCUGUCCGAAUCCUCGCUUUAAACGUUUCGUCUAUCGGACUGGUUGCAGGGAUGCAAAACUUUUGGUCGGUCGCAGGUGCGGAACGACUUUUAUGGUCGAGAUAGGCGACAUCCACUGUUUAUAUUGGACACCUUAUAAAAACAAGAAUGCUGCAAACCGAAUAAUCGAAGACGAAGAUAGUGGAAAAGGGUCGAUAAGCAGGCUGCUGUGUCGAACAAAAAUUAUUGGUAGGCUGCCAGUUGGCCUUUAUUAAAUGAUUAAAACGGGGCCUGACGAAGUGAGAAAAGAGUCUGAUAUUUGUUUUUUGUCCGAUUAUCUCUAUUUGAAGAUUAGGGAAGAAAAGAGAGUUUUGAUAGCCUGGGGUGACUAAUCAAACCUAGUGAUUAGCAUCUUUAUGUAGAGUGUCUGUAGAAAGAGAUUCUGUUGAACAUUUGUCAAAACAAUGUAGUGAGAUGAAUACGCUUCAACAUAAUUAUUAAUGAGGUCUAAGUUGAAAAAGGAGCAGGGGAGAUGGAGAGAAAGAAAGAUAAAAAAAAAGUAGAUACUUCCUUAGUGCCUAGAUUAGAUUCGUACAGUGUUUGUCUGUAAAACUCGAGGGAAUGAACAGAGUAAAUAGGUGCAUAAUAAAUGUUUCCCCCUUCUCCAGGCACGUAAAAACUGAAGUGAAGUAGUGGAUGCUAAUUAUGCACUAACAAAAAUUAGGUACGUUUUCAUCCAAGCAAAAGUUACUGGACUUGUACGCUAAGAUGACAUUACUCGGGUCCCUGGUGGGAUUAAUAGAAACAGGCACGUUGAAGGACAUGAUUUUUUCAUUAAAACUGCACAUGUUCCUUGUCGAAUAUGCUAGAAAUCAAUUAGCGAGAAAUUCUCGUCGAUUCGUGCAUUAAUCGCGGCUGGAUGAUCGGUUUUUGUUUCAACCAAGUUAGUUUACUGAUGGAAUUUGGUGGAGCCUAUCGAAAAUGUCAUUGAUUACGCAUUAGUGUGCCCCCUCGGCAUCAGACGCUCGCAGUUUGCACUUGACCAUCUUUCUGUCUCCUCUGCACAGAAAUUAGCACUCUUCAAAUUGAUGCACUGUGCCGCAUCUCCGAAAAUCGCUUCUUUUUCACAAUUAGUAAGUUUAAAACCACUAAAUAAGUUGGCUCUCGGGAAACUAAAAGUAAAUUAAAGUAGAAACUCCUCAUUCCUAAGGCUUCUUAUUUCAUAAAUCAUAUAAUCAGAUAAAUAUAAAUAUUUGACGGUGUUUGUGCCCUACAGGACGUGACACACCAGUCUAAAUGGCUGCAAAUUACGGUGUCAUAAAACAUAUACAUACGAGGCAUAAACAUAGUGCAUAAACACUCGGAGAUCCAAAUAGCCGUCGAUGUUUCUCCAUUUUAAGAUUUGAAAACGUGCCAAUACUAUUAUCGUUACCUGAGUUUUAAAAAAGACAAGCACGAAACGGUUAUAAUUUUUGUAAAUUAAUCGCAAAAACUGCCGAAGUGGUGCGAAUCUCGGGUAGGCGUCACUCCAUCAUUGACUAGUUUUCGGCUCUUGAUGUAUCUUCCCUUCAAGCCGAAAUCAAAAUUUGAGUGUCACGAUUCAUGGAAAAUCACACGUCGCGCAUUUUUACCGUCUUCUUAUUAAUUAUUACUGAUACGAGCUAUAAAAAAAUGACCUGCAGAUUACUGUCUGAUGUCAAACGCUUUGCCAUCAUACCCAAAAAGCGUUAAUGGUCUUAUGUUUCGGCCGACAGAUGGAGACACUGUUUGUCCAAACAAAUUGGGCGCGGGAUAAUGAAUUCCAUUUCUGAAUGGGUUGAUCUCGCCAAAAAACUAUCGUUGGUUGGAAGAAAAAGCGGGACGGGGAACGGAACUCUUUCCAGAUACAUCCACCAAAAAAUUUCCAGUGAAAAUAGCAUCCGUUGCGAAUUUAAAAAAAAAAAAAAAAAAUUAGAUAUUAGCGCCGUCCUAGGUCGAGC